rnacentral:rRNA from 1 species
CACGUAAGUGGCGAGCGUUGUUCGGAUUUAUUGGGCGUAAAGGGCGUGUAGGCGGCGUAUGAAGCUUGGUGUGAAAUCUUCCGGCUUAACCGGAAAUUCGCGCUGAGAACUGAUAUGCUAGAGUUUAAGAGGGGGAGUUAGAAUUCCAGGUGUAGGGGUGAAAUCUGUAGAUAUCUGGAAGAAUACCGGUGGCGAAGGCGAACUCCUGGCAAUAAACUGACGCUGAGGCGCGAAAGCGUGGGUAGCAAACAGG